GCCGGGCGCGGUGGCCGGCGCCUGUAAUCCCAGCACUUUGGGAGGCUGAGGUGGGUGGAUCACUUGAGGCCAGGAGUUCAAGACCAGCCCGGCCAACAUGGUGAAACCCCAUCUCUA
rnacentral:sRNA from 1 species